AGAAAAGAACCCUCCUCCUUCUACUGCCAAUAACAUUAGUUAUACCUCAUCUGGGGUGCUCAAAAUUUACUUCUUGGAAGGCUUCCACCCCUCAAGCAACCAAAGGCACCUGUAGAACCCGGCAGAGACGGAAACGAGAGAGAUCACCGGAGUUUAAAUCGACGGCGCCAUGGCUGAAGCAUCAUUGAUAGUGAAAAAUAGGGGAAU
rnacentral:misc_RNA from 1 species